rnacentral:pre_miRNA from 1 species
UGUUAUGGAUGAGCAAAGAAAGUGGUUUCUUGAGAUUAAAUCUACUCUUGAUGAAGAUAUUGUGAA